rnacentral:rRNA from 1 species
UACGUAGGGCGCAAGCGUUGUCCGGAAUUAUUGGGCGUAAAGAGCUCGUAGGCGGCUUGUCGCGUCUGUUGUGAAAGCCCGGGGCUUAACCCCGGGUCUGCAGUGGAUACGGGCAGGCUAGAGGCAGGUAGGGGAGAACGGAAUUCCCGGUGUAGCGGUGAAAUGCGCAGAGUAUCGGGAGGAACACCGGUGGCGAAGGCGGUUCUCUGGGCCUGUACUGACGCUGAGGCACGAAAGCGUGGGGAGCAAACAGG